rnacentral:Y_RNA from 1 species
AGCAGGUCCAAAAAUAGCAAGGUAUCUCAAUUGUUCACAGUCACAGAUCAAACUCUUUGUUCUACUCUUUUGCUCCUUCUCACUUCUGCACUUGACUAGUGUGUG